rnacentral:rRNA from 1 species
UACGAAGGGGGCUAGCGUUGCUCGGAAUCACUGGGCGUAAAGGGUUCGUAGGUGGCCAACGUAAGUCAGACGUGAAAUCCCUCAGCUUAAACUGGGGAACUGCGUCUGAUACUGGUUGGCUUGAGUGCAGGAGAGGAACGCGGAAUUCCAGGUGUAGCGGUGAAAUGACGUAGAUAUCUGGAGGAACACCGGUGGCGAAGGCGGCGUUCUGGACUGCAACUGACACUGAUGAACGAAAGCCAGGGAGGCAAACGGG